rnacentral:rRNA from 1 species
UGGAUGAUGUGUUAAUUCGAUGCAACGCGAAAACCUUACCUACCCUUGACAUGUCCGGAAUCCCGAAGAGAUUUGGGAGUGCUCGCAAGAGAACCGGAACACAGGUGCUGCAUGGCUGUCGUCAGCUCGUGUCGUGAGAUGUUGGGUUAAGUCCCGCAACGAGCGCAACCCUUGUCAUUAGUUGCCAUCAUUUGGUUGGGCACUCUAAUGAGACUGCCGGUGACAAACCGGAGGAAGGUGGGGAUGACGUCAAGUCCUUAUGGCCCUUAUGGGUAGGGCUUCACACGUCAUACAAUGGUCGGUACAGAGGGUUGCCAACCCGCGAGGGGGAGCUAAUCCCACAAAGCCGAUCGUAGUCCGGAUCGCAGUCUGCAACUCGACUGCGUGAAGUCGGAAUCGCUAGUAAUCGUGGAUCAGCAUGUCACGGUGAAUACGUUCCCGGGUCUU